AAGAACAAAUUUUAUUUAAAUUUUCUAUUGCGACAAAGAUUUAAUAAAUUUUGUUUUUAGACAAUAAACACUACUACGUCUUUCCCCCUCCGACCCUUUACUUUCCUAAUUGCCAACGCAAUGUGCUGCAUAUAUAGGGGACAUCCCCUGCGUGUUGGUUACGUGAAAAAAAAAAAACUUUGGCGCAUAAAAUGGAAAUGGAUUUUUGAGGUAUUUUCGACGACAACCUGAUUACUGAUAAGCCGAAGGACAUGGUAUGGAUUGACCCUGCGCCCUCUUCUUCAACCAAAACUGAACCUAUUUGGAUCAGAAGCACAGUUUUUGAAACGGAAAUCUUUACAAAUAGAGAUGUAUAACCUAACAAAAUAUGCUCCUUCAGGAAUGUCAUUUAACCAAACAUUUCAUGGUCUUUCGAUGGAAACAUCAAAUGGAAAGACAAAUCUUGAAAAAGGAUGUCAAGUUCACUUCAUUCGGCUAUAGAAUCAUAGAACCUGUACUAGUCACUUUUGUAUGUAAAUACCGGAAUCAACAAUAAGGGGACUGUGAGCUUAUAUUUUAUGUUAUUUGGAUAAACCAUAAUCCAGUAACAGAUUGCGGAAGGGAAACAAACUGGGUAUCAGAGUUUUGCAAUCCCUAAGGGUCACAUAUUAUUCUGAAGGAGCAUCCCUUCAAAAUGCUGAAACGUUGGAGCACUAUUUGCCAGACAAUAAGAAGAGUUAAAGAGUCAUAGAAUGGAAACCAAAUGAGCAUUGUGUAGAGAUAGAGGUAGGACAAUUCAACGUAAACAAUUUAUAAUACAUUGUGAUACUACAGUAGCGACCGACUCGAACCCACCACUUGAGAACUCAGCUACCAGGGCUCUUAAAAGAAUUAUGUCUUGUUUGUCGAUGUCGCAGUCAAAUCUCGAAUUCAAACAAAAAAAAGUAUUUCGAUAUAUAGAUCCGUCAACGUCAAAAGAGCUACAAACUCAUCGAAAACGAAUACAAAAACCUUCUAGAUGGACGAAUGUGGAACAGAGUGACUGUCAUCCUCUCGCUUUUCAUUAAGGAUCACUCAACUUUUGGAUGAAAAGGUUGUUCAUUUAAACUCCCAACAAGUCUAAAUAUAUUUUAGAUUUUGUAUUUGCAAAACUCUUACUUGAUGUUUUCCUGAACACAAGAACACACAACAAAUUCGCACAACUCAAAUUAUAAUUUAUUAGCCUUACAUAUGAAAUGAAACAGAACAAAUCAACAUUGUGUGAUUUUUUUUCAACAAUUUUUUAAACAAAGUUUCCCCAAUAACCAUCAAACAUCGCAAUUUAUGAAUAACACUAUUCCUUGUCGUACAUCAACUGCCAAAUGCUAAAUCAACAAAACAAAAAUCAAAAACACACAAAAACAUUUGGGAUAUUUGGAGCCCAUUUGCCGGUUUGGCGAAGACGGACAAGACAUUUUGACCUCUUGAAUGGUGAUGAAGAUGAAUAAGAUUUUUCUCUUGUCCGACACACACGUCCAACUCAAACAUUCUGGCUUGCGGAAGACUGAAGGUCUUCACAAAAUAUCUGAUGGACACACAUUAAGAACAACACCAACAGCAAAUGAUGAUCCAUUCCGGAAUAUGUGGCAUGGUGUAGUGUUAUGCCUUGUGGUCUCCCCCCACAAUUUCCCAAUGUCCCAAAACAAACAAACAAACCAUUUUGGUAAAUAAAAAGAAUGCCAAAAAAAGCAGAAGUCUCUUUUCCAAA
rnacentral:sRNA from 1 species